UGGGGAAUAUUGGACAAUGGGGGGAACCCUGAUCCAGCCAUGCCGCGUGUGUGAAGAAGGCCUUAUGGUUGUAAAGCACUUUAAGCGAGGAGGAGGGUACUGGUAUUAAUACUACCAGCUACUGGACGUUACUCGCAGAAUAAGCACCGGCUAACUCUGUGCCAGCAGCCGCGGUAAUACAGAGGGUGCGAGCGUUAAUCGGAUUUACUGGGCGUAAAGCGUGCGUAGGCGGCUAAUUGAGUCGGAUGUGAAAUCCCCGGGCUUAACUUGGGAACUGCAUUCGAUACUGGUUAGCUAGAGUGUGGGAGAGGAUGGUAGAAUUCCAGGUGUAGCGGUGAAAUGCGUAGAGAUCUGGAGGAAUACCGAUGGCGAAGGCAGCCAUCUGGCCUAACACUGACGCUGAGGUACGAAAGCAUGGGGAGCAAACAGG
rnacentral:rRNA from 1 species